CCGAUCUCGAUCUACUGUUGCUGUUGCAGUCACACCCGAAUACGCCCACUCUGAAGGGGGCGUAACCACGUGACCAUAAAAAUAAAAACACGACAGAGACAGAGACUCACUAACACUAAAGUCGUGUUUUAUUUUGGAAUUUGCUUAAAUGAUAAAUAAAAAUUAGGUCUUCAGUGAAAUUCAAGACAUUUUCGACUCGACAGGAUGACCCUGAAAUUGCAUCAUCUCCGCGCAGCCUCAAGAUUUCUUUCUCUGCAAAGACGUUUUAUUUCCAGUUAUACCAAGCCACCAAUUUUGCAGAGUGCUCCAAAUUUUUCAGUGCCGAAAUUGUACAAAUUCAGCCCGCUUCAUUUUAAUUUUUCUCUCCGGCUGUGCAGUUCGGACUGUUCAGAGAGCAAAGGUGUGCCGCUUGGAAAGCUUGAAGGACGGUUUAAUUUGAUUUACACGUGUGGAGUGUGCAGCCACCGGAACUCGCAUUUUAUUUCGAAACACGCGUACGAGAAGGGUGUCGUGAUAGUGACUUGCGAGGGAUGCAAAAAUAGACAUUUGAUCGCCGAUCAUUUAGGCUGGUUCCAAGACUUCCAGGAAAAGAAUAUAUAAGAAAUGAUGGCUAAAAAGGGCCAGGUUGUGCAGAGGAUUAAACCAACGAUUUUUGAAUAUUCAGAAUAAAGAGUUAAAUUUGUUAGCAAUCACAUUA